rnacentral:tRNA from 1 species
UCCCUUGUAGCUUAGUUGGUAAAGAACCUGCCUGCAAUGCAGGAGACCCAGAUUUGAUUUCUUGGGAA